UGACCUGGGGGCAGAGCGCCGUGUCAACAGGUCGCCCCGCAGACCCUGGAGGCGGGGCCGAAGCCACCCCAUCAGGCAGGGCACUGCCUGGGCCUCAGCUUUCCAAUCCAUGACACGGGUGACAGCCUUUGGGCGAGCAGAGCCCUGGGUGGAGCUGGGCGUACUGCCAACAGCUGGCACCUGACACCUGGCAUCUGACAGGUCAUUCCAUCUGUGAGCGCUGGAUGAAGCAAGGCCUCUGCUUUGCAAGCUGCCAGGCGCUGCCCCCGGUCCUGGGAGGCUCGGCCCACGUGCUACUGGACACCUCCUGUUUUAUUAAACACUGCUCACCGGGGCUCCCAGGCAGCCCUGCCCCAGGGGACAUCUGACCUGGAGUCCACACUGUCACAGCGUGGGGGAGGAGCUGCCACGUAACCUCCACUUAAGAAAACACUGGAGGUCUGCCCUCGCCCUGCUGUCCAGCCAGGCUGCUUGCCGAUCGCCCUGACUUGCAGCCAAUGGGACCAGAGACAGGUCCGUUCGAGAUCCAGGGCUUGAGGAGCCCUGUGACUCCCGCCUGCUCUGCGUGCACUGAGCCACCUCGGAAAAGGCGAGAAUCCACCGUCCUCAGCGCUUCCUACUCAGCGCCGAGGCCCACGCACCACCCGCGCUAUCGGCAGCCCUCCCGAGGGGAUGUUUCCUGGAAUCAAGGAUCAUCUACGGAGGCCAGUGCCCGGGGCACACCAGCCGUGGAGCCCGCGAGGCCGGGCUUCGAGAACGCACAGCUUUGGCCGCGGCCCCGUGCAGGGCAACCGGCCCCUUUGGGGCGGGGACCCCAGCCUUGUUUCCUCUGACAUGGGGGCUGCGGCUGGCGAGGGUCACGUGCCAAAUACAGGCAAAGACCGCACGCUCCCCCGUCACGGUCUCACCGGGGCCCUGAAAAGUGGCCGCCCGGGAGGUGGCUCUGCGGGGGGAGGGCAGGGGGCUGCUGGGAGCAGCCUGGUGGCCAGAAUGUGGGGAGCACCUGCAGCAGGGAGGCCCUGUCCUCCUCAGUCUGUUGUGACGCGUCCCCAGGAUGGGACUGUCAGAAACAAGGCCGUGACACCCCAGAAACGAUGGGAGCACCCAUUUUCCAAGGAUGGAGGCCGCCGAGCGGCUGGGCAAAGCGCCCUCUGUCCUGUCCCUCUGGCACCUCCCGUUACCUGGCAGCCCCUCUCUGGGUACCUUGGCAGACGCCAGGGCUGCCCAUGCUGGCGGGAGGAGGCAGGGGCCUCUCUGUGACCCGGGGGCCACUUGCACCCACCCCCCUGAUCCCCCCACCCCCCAGCAGACCUGGGCUGCUCCCGCAGGAGCUGAGCGGGGCCACUUACCGGCACCUUCAUCUUAAAAUCAUCUCUGUUGAACCUGAAGGCGAGGUCGGAGAGGGUCCUUUGGAAAAAGCCCGUGGGGCGCAGGACGAGGACGAGCUGGAGGUUGGCGGGGAAGGAUGCCUGUGGGGACAAGGGCGCGGCUCAGUCGGCAGGCGGCCUGGGUGCCCAGCUGAGCGCAGCCCCCAUGAGACGGCCUGGCCUGCGGCUCCCCGGUUCCAACAGCCACCGUCAGGCUAGGGCAGACGCUGGGCUCAGCUCGAGCAUCGCCGUUGCGCAAAGAAAAGGGAAAAGUCCUGCUGGCUACAGCCCCUGUGCUGCUCAUAAACUUCAAGGUCAAAAGCUCGGAGCUCUUGUCAUGGCCAAGUUGUGCCCCCAGAUUCUCAGGCUGAAGUCCAAUCCCCUGGUGCAUCCGUGUCCCCAGGGCGCUGACAGUGGUGACCGAGCAAGAUGAGGUCACCAGGGCAGCCCCCCAACCAGACACGACCGCGUCCUUGUAAAUAAAAGGGGACGUUUGGGCGUGGAGCCCCACAGGGGAUGCUGCGUGAGGACUGGGCUCUCCAGGAGCCCCCGACGCUGGGGGCAGCCACGCCACGAUGCUACCUCACGGCCCCAGGGGGACCAGCCUGCCGACACCUUGGCCUCAGGCUUCUGUGUGUGACUGAGACAAGAAUUUCCUUGUUUCAGCUGAAGUCUGCGGUGCCUGUUACGACAACCCCAGAAAACCAAGGUCCUUGUCCAGAGAGGACAAAGCCGCAUGAACACGUGCUUACGUGCGACCUAAAACAAGACGAAGAUGAGCGCUGGUGUGGCUACAGGAACAGAUGCCACUAGCCGCGCAGGUGCUUACAAGGCAGUGCUGGGGACAAGCGGACCCUCCAGGCCGUGGUCUCCCAGUCCGCAAACGGGUAACAAAGUGCCCUGCUUCCCUGACGCUCGGGCCCUGCUCGCACCGGGGCUGAGGCGGGUGCACGGCAAGCCCCCAGGGCCCCAACCCGGAUCCAGCAUCCAGACCACGUCCCUCAUGUGAGGGAAGAGUGAGGAGAAAGAGGCCGCGGGGUGGGCCCUGGUCAGGCUUUGGCCGUUCGGCCCGGGUUGGCUGGCAGGGGAGGGCAGGGUCUCUCGGGGGCACAGACAAGGGCCAGGGUGCUGGCUGUGCUCUGCCCGCAGCCGGGGCCCCGGCCUCGAGCUGGCCCAGAGCCUUCCUGCUCCUCUCCCGCACGGCCCUGUCCGACUUGCCUGAGCCGUCGUCCAUGGAAGCACCGUGACCCCCGCAGGAUGUCCACUGGUCACCAUGCCCUCCUGCCCGGAAUAUCCGGAGAAGCACCCCCCUCGCCAAAGACCAACCCAGAGUCCUGACCACGGCCUGCGGUGGCCCCUGACCCUGCGCCCGCCCAGACCUGGCUCUCACACACGUCGCUCCCUCCUCUGGGCCCCGCCUGGCGUGUCGCUGGGUGAGAGGGGCCUCGGAGCCUGGCCGUGGCCCACCCCACCCUGAGGGUUCCGCCACCCACCCCGAACCUGACAUGCAAGGCCCCGUGCCCAUGCGGCCAGGGCCUGCCCUCUCACCACCCGUGGGUAGCCACCCUGCUUCUCCGCAGGGAGCGCGUAUUCUCCAGGAGCCCCGCCUCAUCACCCCCGUCUCCAAACACCGUGCUCGCCCAGGCUGGACCUUGCCGUCGGGUCCCACAGCCCUACGCAUGGCUGCCCGGCACCCUCCUGCCCAGGGUUUCCCCACAGCCGAGCUGGAGCUGCUCUCACCAGGCCGUGCUGGGCCCUCAAUCCCCGCAUUGGAGCUUCAUUCCGCGAGUCAACCACACGCCGCCCUGUGUCUGCUCAGUGCUCGGAGGCCGGGGGGUCCUUGGCCAAGCAACUCCACCCCCAGCCUCUCCUCCCCCUCCCCCAGCCUCUCCUCCCCCUCCCCCAGCCCCUCUGCACCCGCCGUGGCUCUGAGCCAUGGCUCUGAGCGGCGUCUCCUGCCUGCCGGCUCCUCCGUGGUCCUCUCUGCACCUCAGCUCAGCCCUUAGCGAUGCUGCCUUCAGAGGGGCUGGGGGCGUGUGCCCUCCUGCCUGCAGCCCUCAGGGGUUCCCACCUGGGCACCGCCAUCACAGCCCUGGGGGACCACAGCUGACCUGGCGCUUGCCCAGUGCUGUGGACAGAGCCGAGCCGAGACGUCAACUCAGAGAAAAGACGUGGAAAGCAGGAAGCUCGAGAGGGUGGGCCCUGGGUGCCACCAGCAGGAGGGCCGUGCGGACCCCGCCCAGGCGGGUGCUGCCUCCCCACUUCAGGGAAACCUCCUCGGGUCUCUUUCUGGAGGCCACACAGGGUCACGCUUUCCCAACUUGCAGCACAGUUUUCAUACCCCGAUCACACCUCACGGAAGGUGUGCUCUGUAAGGACGGGGUCUGGACUCAAGGUGACGCCCAGCCCUUUCCUCUUAGGUGCUUCACGGAACCCCGGAAGAACGUACGUGGCACUUUAUGAGAGGUCCACCCAUCUGAGGACCGUCCAGACCCUGGACCUGCUGCUGGACACAGAGUGAGGCUAAAUCCUCAGCUGUGGGUCCUGUGGCCAGUUGUGACCGUGAACAGUGACAGGCAAACACGCACGUCGUGCUGAGGCCCGUCAGAGCCAACUCGGGCCCCACUCUUGACGGGGAUUUUAGGGACCCUGGGCCCCCCAAUGUCUUGUUUUUCUGCUCCAAGCCGAGCUGAAGGAUCCCAGAAAGAAAGAGAGCACCCCGGAGCACAGCAAGCCUGGCGCACGAGACAGCGCGGGGGGCUUAAAAUAGCCCCGAAUCACAGCGCGUUACGUAAGCGCCAGGCUCACGGGUGGCCAAACACGUUUGGAUAAACACAGCCUCUCUGGCACAGGCCUGCUUCUGCGGCACCUGCAGCCAAGGUGGCCCGGGCCCAAUGGGGUCGUCCAGGCUGGAAUGCAGGCAUGCCCCCAAGGGCCAGGUGCUCUCCCAGAGCCCCCUCGACUGAAAGCACAGGCCAGCCAAGGCUGGUGGUUCAGGUCCACAGCGGGGGGCAUCUGUGUGCCAGUGCUCCCCCUCCCCCCACCUCAGAGCCGGGAUGGAGACGGUGACCUCCCUGCCCCCGCGACAGCGCCCCGUCGUGACACCAGUCGUCUGUACCACACUUGGGUCCCCAGUGCUGAGCUCCAGGCCCCCCGGCCCCCUAGUGCCAGGCGCACAGCAGGGUGUCAGCGAGUGUGUCCGAUACAUAAAUAGAAUUUUGCUAUCAAUAUUAUCAGUAAAUUCUUGUCACAAAAAAAGCA